rnacentral:lncRNA from 1 species
GUUGAAGUGGAAUCUGAUUGAGCAUUUAAUGGUCCUGAACAGAAAGUGGAAAGACGCACCAAUUUCCCAGGAGGUCAAGCCCGCCAAUUUCAGGGAUCUGCUAUGCACACUGGGUUCUUUCUUAAUCCCUGCUGAGGAUCUUGAGAAGCAGCAGCAGCACCAAAACCAAGGCACGCACUGGAUUCAAGGUUCUUUUUGUUCCAGUUGUCAGAUUCCAAACUAGACCUCAAUGGAUUGCAAGGAUGACCAAAUGAAAGCCCUGUUUAAAACUUCUUCAGUUUUUAAAAGCAAAAGCAAUUACAGGAAGUAAAACAAUUCAGAGGGAUCACGUGUGCUUACAAGUGUCUUCUUGUGGUCUUUCUCCAAUUUCAACCACCAAGGACUCCGAGAGCUGGCAGGUCUGAGUAACCCUGGUGACUUUCCUUUUCACCUUAUCAAAACCUGAGCUAAA